UACGGAGGGGGCUAGCGUUGUUCGGAAUUACUGGGCGUAAAGCGCACGUAGGCGGCUUUGUAAGUUAGAGGUGAAAGCCCGGGGCUCAACCCCGGAACUGCCUUUAAGACUGCAUCGCUUGAACAUCGGAGAGGUGAGUGGAAUUCCGAGUGUAGAGGUGAAAUUCGUAGAUGUUCGGAAGAACACCAGUGGCGAAGGCGACUGACUGGACAAGUAUUGACGCUGAGGUGCGAAAGCGUGGGGAGCAAACAGG
rnacentral:rRNA from 1 species